rnacentral:misc_RNA from 1 species
UCUCCGUUGGUGAACCAGCGGAGGGAUCAUUACCGAGUUUACAACUCCCAAACCCCUGUGAACAUACCAUUUGUUGCCUCGGCGGUGCCUGCUUCGGCAGCCCGCCAGAGGACCCAAACCCUUGAUUUUAUACAGUAUCUUCUGAGUAAAUGAUUAAAUAAAUCAAAACUUACAACAACGGAUCUCUUGGUUCUG